UACGUAGGGGGCAAGCGUUGUCCGGACUUACUGGGCGUAAAGCGUGUGCAGGCGGGCCGCUAUGUGCCGUGUGAAAGCUCCCAGCUUAUCUGGGAGAGGUCGCGGUAGACAGGCAGCCUGGAGGCUCGGAGAGGUCAGUGGAAUUCUCGGUGUAGUGGUGAAAUGCGUAGAUAUCGAGAGGAACACCUGUGGCGAAAGCGGCGCACUGGACCACAUCUGACGCUGAGGCGCGAAAGCUAGGGGAGCAAACAGG
rnacentral:rRNA from 1 species